rnacentral:lncRNA from 1 species
UGCCCUCUUCAAAUGUUUCCACACAUCAGUGAGCAGCAGCACCGCAAUCCUUACUCGAUGACACGCUCUGUGGGCCUGGAAAAUGCCUUGACGUUCGAGCACUUCGGGAGCUGUACCGGCGGACAGCCGGACGCGGGUAGCUUGGCCGUUCCUUGCUCUGCGCAUCGCUUGAAAACCGGCGGUCAUCCUGCAGUGUACGCUGCCAGCGUGCUUUCUUGCCAGAGCCGCCUCCCCUGCUGGUGAUGACCAUAUGCAGCCAAUGCUGAUGUGAACCCGAGUGAUGAACAAAUGCAGAUCUGCAAAGGAGCUGUCCUGAGGCACCAUGCUUACUCAAGUCAUGCAGCGAGAGUCAGCAUGCCUGGAAAAGUACUUCAAAGCAGACCCCAUCUUGCUGACUGCAC